GGGUUGUGAGGUUAAGCGACUAAGCGUACACGGUGGAUGCCCUGGCAGUCAGAGGCGAUGAAGGGCGUGCUAAUCUGCGAUAAGCGCCGGUAAGGUGAUAUGAACCGUUAUAACCGGCGAUACCCGAAUGGGGAAACCCAGUGUGACUCGUCACACUAUCAUUAACUGAAUCCAUAGGUUAAUGAGGCGAACCGGGGGAACUGAAACAUCUAAGUACCCCGAGGAAAAGAAAUCAACCGAGAUUCCCCCAGUAGCGGCGAGCGAACGGGGAGGAGCCCAGAGCCUGAAUCAGCAUGUGUGUUAGUGGAAGCGUCUGGAAAGGCGCGCGAUACAGGGUGACAGCCCCGUACACAAAAGCGCAUGUGCUGUGAGCUCGAUGAGUAGGGCGGGACACGUGGUAUCCUGUCUGAAUAUGGGGGGACCAUCCUCCAAGGCUAAAUACUCCUGACUGACCGAUAGUGAACCAGUACCGUGAGGGAAAGGCGAAAAGAACCCCGGCGAGGGGAGUGAAAAAGAACCUGAAACCGUGUACGUACAAGCAGUGGGAGCACAGGUUUACCUGUGUGACUGCGUACCUUUUGUAUAAUGGGUCAGCGACUUAUAUUCUGUAGCAAGGUUAACCGUAUAGGGGAGCCGUAGGGAAACCGAGUCUUAAUUGGGCGUUAAGUUGCAGGGUAUAGACCCGAAACCCGGUGAUCUAGCCAUGGGCAGGUUGAAGGUUGGGUAACACUAACUGGAGGACCGAACCGACUAAUGUUGAAAAAUUAGCGGAUGACCUGUGGCUGGGGGUGAAAGGCCAAUCAAACCGGGAGAUAGCUGGUUCUCCCCGAAAGCUAUUUAGGUAGCGCCUCGUGAAUUCAUCUCCGGGGGUAGAGCACUGUUUCGGCUAGGGGGCCAUCCCGGCUUACCAACCCGAUGCAAACUGCGAAUACCGGAGAAUGUUAUCACGGGAGACACACGGCGGGUGCUAACGUCCGUCGUGAAGAGGGAAACAACCCAGACCGCCAGCUAAGGUCCCAAAGUCAUGGUUAAGUGGGAAACGAUGUGGGAAGGCCCAGACAGCCAGGAUGUUGGCUUAGAAGCAGCCAUCAUUUAAAGAAAGCGUAAUAGCUCACUGGUCGAGUCGGCCUGCGCGGAAGAUGUAACGGGGCUAAACCAUGCACCGAAGCUGCGGCAGCGACGCUUAUGCGUUGUUGGGUAGGGGAGCGUUCUGUAAGCCUGUGAAGGUGGCCUGUGAGGGUUGCUGGAGGUAUCAGAAGUGCGAAUGCUGACAUAAGUAACGAUAAAGCGGGUGAAAAGCCCGCUCGCCGGAAGACCAAGGGUUCCUGUCCAACGUUAAUCGGGGCAGGGUGAGUCGACCCCUAAGGCGAGGCCGAAAGGCGUAGUCGAUGGGAAACGGGUUAAUAUUCCCGUACUUGGUGUUACUGCGAAGGGGGGACGGAGAAGGCUAUGUUGGCCGGGCGACGGUUGUCCCGGUUUAAGCGUGUAGGUGUGUGUUCCAGGUAAAUCCGGUUCACUUUAACACUGAGGCGUGACGACGAGGCACUACGGUGCUGAAGCAACAAAUGCCCUGCUUCCAGGAAAAGCCUCUAAGCAUCAGGUAACAUCAAAUCGUACCCCAAACCGACACAGGUGGUCAGGUAGAGAAUACCAAGGCGCUUGAGAGAACUCGGGUGAAGGAACUAGGCAAAAUGGUGCCGUAACUUCGGGAGAAGGCACGCUGACAUGUAGGUGAAGUGAUUUACUCAUGGAGCUGAAGUCAGUCGAAGAUACCAGCUGGCUGCAACUGUUUAUUAAAAACACAGCACUGUGCAAACACGAAAGUGGACGUAUACGGUGUGACGCCUGCCCGGUGCCGGAAGGUUAAUUGAUGGGGUCAGCGCAAGCGAAGCUCCUGAUCGAAGCCCCGGUAAACGGCGGCCGUAACUAUAACGGUCCUAAGGUAGCGAAAUUCCUUGUCGGGUAAGUUCCGACCUGCACGAAUGGCGUAAUGAUGGCCAGGCUGUCUCCACCCGAGACUCAGUGAAAUUGAACUCGCUGUGAAGAUGCAGUGUACCCGCGGCAAGACGGAAAGACCCCGUGAACCUUUACUAUAGCUUGACACUGAACAUUGAGCCUUGAUGUGUAGGAUAGGUGGGAGGCUUUGAAGUGUGGACGCCAGUCUGCAUGGAGCCGACCUUGAAAUACCACCCUUUAAUGUUUGAUGUUCUAACGUGGACCCGUAAUCCGGGUUGCGGACAGUGUCUGGUGGGUAGUUUGACUGGGGCGGUCUCCUCCUAAAGAGUAACGGAGGAGCACGAAGGUUGGCUAAUCCUGGUCGGACAUCAGGAGGUUAGUGCAAUGGCAUAAGCCAGCUUGACUGCGAGCGUGACGGCGCGAGCAGGUGCGAAAGCAGGUCAUAGUGAUCCGGUGGUUCUGAAUGGAAGGGCCAUCGCUCAACGGAUAAAAGGUACUCCGGGGAUAACAGGCUGAUACCGCCCAAGAGUUCAUAUCGACGGCGGUGUUUGGCACCUCGAUGUCGGCUCAUCACAUCCUGGGGCUGAAGUAGGUCCCAAGGGUAUGGCUGUUCGCCAUUUAAAGUGGUACGCGAGCUGGGUUUAGAACGUCGUGAGACAGUUCGGUCCCUAUCUGCCGUGGGCGCUGGAGAACUGAGGGGGGCUGCUCCUAGUACGAGAGGACCGGAGUGGACGCAUCACUGGUGUUCGGGUUGUCAUGCCAAUGGCACUGCCCGGUAGCUAAAUGCGGAAGAGAUAAGUGCUGAAAGCAUCUAAGCACGAAACUUGCCCCGAGAUGAGUUCUCCCUGAGACUUAGAGUCUCCUGAAGGAACGUUGAAGACGACGACGUUGAUAGGCCGGGUGUGUAAGCGCAGCGAUGCGUUGAGCUAACCGGUACUAAUGAACCGUGAGGCUUAACCUUACAACGCCGAAG
rnacentral:rRNA from 1 species